UAUUUGGUGAAGCACAGAGUUUCUGAAUAUU
rnacentral:piRNA from 1 species